rnacentral:rRNA from 1 species
AUGGAGGACUUCAAAGCUACACAUCUGGAUGGAGUUGAGGAUAAACUGAAGAAUCUGCAACUUUCUGAAGCUGAAAAGAGGGGAAUCAGGAUUGGAAAGAAGCAAGCAUGCUCCUCGCAAGUAAGUAAAUUACAAGAAGUAGGUAAACUACUUUAAGAGAGGCCUGUUAGGGGGGAACUUGUGGGGAGAACUCUAGGGGGAGUCUGGAGCCCCUUUUUUGGCGUGGAAGGUGAAGAUCUUGGCAGGAAUCGAUUUCUCUUUACAUUCCACCAAAAGACUGACAAAGACAAGGCACUGGACGCUGGACCCUGGAGUUCUAAUAACGAUCUGUUGGUUAUGGAAGAUUUUGUGCCAAGCAAAACCAUAGAUGAGUAUGAAUUCAAGACAACACCCAUCUGGAUUAGAGCUUAUGGCAUUCCAAUGGGGAUGAUAAACAAAGAAACAGGGGAUGCAGUAGGAGAACAAGUUGGAGAAGUAAUUGAUGUGGAUUUGGAUGUUCAUGGUGAUUCAUUAGGAGUUUUCAUGCGAAUUAAAGUGAAAAUGGACAUCACAGUCCCAAUUAUGAGGUUUAUAACAAUUUAUAUUGAUGAAGAGGAAGAACAGGAGCAUACAAAUGAAAUGGUACUGGGGAGAGAUGAUGAAGAGGAAGAGAAGAAUAAAAAAAUAAAGAAAAGGAGGAAAAGAUUGUCUCUCUUACAUACGAAUAUUUACCCGACUUCUGCUAUAGUUGUGGAAUUAUUGGACACACUGAAAAGUCAUGCCCAACAAGAUCUAGAAGAACAGGGUCCAGACAGUUUGGUCCAUGGCUGCGGGCAAUUAUGUAUAAGGGAAGCUCAAAUGAAGAAAAGGGCAGAAGCUCGAGUGAUAAAGGUAAUGUUCGGACAAGUAAUAGUGCAGGAAGUAAUGGGAGCAAGCAAGGAAGCGACGGACCAUCCUGGAGAAGGGUUACAUCAGGAAGGGAGGAAGAGGAAGGACCAAGAAAUAGAAAUAGAGAAGGAAUAG